GAUGUAUUGCAGUCGAUUCAGUUUUUAAAUCAAAAGACAAUUCAUUUGAGAUAUGUUUUCUGCAAAUACUUAUAUUUGCAUAAUGCUGUUACAAUUCGUUUCAGUUCCUACAACUGUCACAUAAUCCUAUUGGGUUUUCAAUUGAAAAGGUGAGGCUGCGUUGCAUUAACAAUAUUUCAAUUUCAAAGUUAAAAAGCUUAAUGAUGUGCCUCUUGGAGAUUACAUCGGAGUUCAAUAGUCCAAGAAUGCUACAUAUGUGCCUCACACUGCAGGUAGGUACUAAGUGAGGCAUGCCAUGGAAAUCUUUCACUUGCUAACUGAAAAUGAGGAUUUAUUGAUUUCUUAUUGGUUUGAUUUCCUGGAUGAUGGCAUUUUUGUAAUAGCUUUUGGAGUGGUUUUAUUUGAACUCAUUACUGGAAGGAAACCAAUUUAAACCAAAAGAUUUCCAUGAGAAGAGAAUUUAGUAUUACGGCCAUAUUAUCUGAAGAGUGGCAACACAAUUACAAGGCAGACUGGAGGUUCCCUUGCUUCCUCAAUAAAAUCAUUGGCGUCCUAGAUCAUGGACUUGAUGUUUGGAUUCUAUAUCAAGCUUUAUCAUCCUUCCUAUUUUAUUAUAAGCAAUAUUUUUACUCGGUUAUUCAUACUCUCUAAAGAGGUUCGGCGUAUUAUGUUUUUUUGGAUUUGAGUUGGAAUAUUUACUCAUUGGCAUCUUAGCAUUGUGAUCUUAUGAUCGGUUACUUAGUUUUGUGUUUGUUGGAUUUGAGUUGGAGUAUUUACUCAUUUAAUUGAA